AAUGAGACGAUCAAAAAGCAGAUCCUCGCCAUCCGGGAUACCGGCCUGACGAAUAUGUUUGAUACAAACAUGGUGCAGCGGCUGGCCUACGAGCGAGACUUCUAUGAGCUGGUGAUUUUCAUCGAGGAGCACCGCAAGGAAUAUGUGCAUUUCAUCCUCUACGGAGAGGCAUAAAGCACACAAUUCCGAGCCCGAAUAUUUGUGUAGAAUACUUCAGUUUAUAUCGCAGAAAUGACUUGCUAUUUCAGGCGUUUAGAGUGAUAUAUACACUACCGAAAGGAAAUACACAUAAACGGAGGAAACCACGAUGCGUUACAUCGACCACACCAACUGCAAGACAGCCUUUGAAAAGGGCGAAGACCACGAGAUCCAGAGCCUUGGGAAACUCACCCGCACGGCCACCAAGAUUGCCGAAGCAAACGGUCUUGGAGUUCUGAAGAACCGUCAGGGCUACUACAGGAUCAUCAAGAAGAGCGGCCUCGGAGCCUACGAAGACGUCCUUUCAACCCUCGCAGAGGUUGACGCCUUCUUCAAGAACCUCGACAGCCACAAGGCCACGAAGUAUUAAGGAGAGACCGACAAUGACGAUCAACAAUGCGAUGAGAAAGUUCCGGCUGCCAAACCCAACCACCCCGGAGGACCUCGAAACCAGAUGAGCUAUCCAUGGCCAGGUUGAAGGUGUGGUAACACACACUGGAGGACCGAACCGACUAGUGUUGCAAAAUUAGCGGAUGAGCUGUGGAUAGGGGUGAAAGGCUUAACAAAUCUGGAGAUAGCUGGUUCUCCCCGAAAACUAUUGAGGUAGUGCCUCGUGUAUUGCUCCAGGGGGUAGAGCACUGUUAUGGCUAGGGGGACAUGGCGUCUUACCAAACCAUGGCAAACUCCGAAUACUUGGAAGUAAGAGCACGGGAGACAGAGCACCGGGUGCUAACGUCCGGACUCAAGAGGGAAACAACCCAGACCGCCGUUUAAGGUCCCAAAUAUUGACUAAGUGGAAAACGAAGUGUGAAGGCUAAGACAGUCAGGAAGUUGGCUUAGAAGCAGCCAUCCUUCAAAGAAAGCGUAAUAGCUCACUGAUCGAGUCCUCAUGCGCGGAAGAUGUAACGGGGCUAAGUCAAUAACCGAAAGCGCGGAUUUGCAUGAAAAUGCAAGUGGUAGGGGAGCGUUCUGUAAGCCUGCGAAGGUGGUUCGAGAGGACUGCUGGAGGUAUCAGAAGUGCGAAUGCUGACAUGAGUAACGUUAAAGCGGGUGAAAAGCCCGCUCGCCGUAAGCCCAAGGUUUCCUGCUCUACGUUCAUCGGAGCAGGGUGAGUCGGCCCCUAAGGCCAGGCUGAGAAGCGUAGUCGAUGGGAAGCAGAUUAAUAUUUCUGCACCAUGUGCAAGUGCGAUGGGGGGACGGAGUGCGAAAGAUCAUCCGGGUGUUGGAUGUCCCGGUUUGUGAGUGUAGAAGGCCGACAGGCAAAUCCGUCGGCGGAUCUUCGAGACAAAGCAUCGAGGUUCUACGGAACCGAAGUGAUCGGAAGUGCUUCCAGGAAAAGCCUCUAAGCUCCAGCUUGCAUAUGACCGUACCGUAAACCGACACUGGUGGGCGAGUUGAAUAUACUCAGGCGCUUGAGAGAACUCGGGAGAAGGAACUCGGCAAAUUGACACCGUAACUUCGGGAUAAGGUGUGCCUUUGUAGCGUGAAGAGAGAAACACUCGGAGCGUGAAGAGGCCUCAGAGAAUCGGUGGCUGCAACUGUUUACUAAAAACACAGCACUCUGCAAAGAUGAAAGUCGACGUAUAGGGUGUGAUGCCUGCCCGGUGCUGGAAGAUUAAUUGAUGGGGUGCAAGCUCCUGAUCGAAGUCCCAGUAAACGGCGGCCGUAACUAUAACGGUCCUAAGGUAGCGAAAUUCCUUGUC
rnacentral:rRNA from 1 species